ACAGGUGUGUUUCAACAGCGCUGCUACAGCGCCGUCCUCGCCAAGUGGGAGACGUUCAGCCAGUGAGGAACGUGAGGAGUCCCACACACCUUACACUUGUGGCAGCAGACGGACUUCGCUGGUGGUGAGCGACAGCCUGGGCAGGUUCCGGGUGUGGUGAAGAAGACGCGACCAAACCUGGGCAUCGCCAUCGAGGGUGGAGCAGACACCAAGCAGAAGCUUCCUAGGGUCAUCAAUAUCGCAGCACACGGAGCGGCCUUCGAGGCUGGAGGACUUCGAGUUGGCCAGCUUAUCCUGGCUGUGGAUGGUCAAAAACUAGACGGCCAGAGCCAUGAGGAGGCGGCUAGGCUGAUCGCUGGGUGUUGGGUGAGCCGCUCCAGACCCGAGGUGGAGUUCAUGGUUGUGGAAAGGAAACCCACUGCCGCAGACGUCCGCCGCUCCUCAAUAUCCCUUCUCUCACAGAUGUGAGCACCUGGGUGAGGGGGGUCCUAAAGGGGGACCCUCAGGUGAGCUAGACUUGGAACCCUGGUGUGUUCACAAAGCUGACAGACGUCCUGAAAAAUGUGAUCACCUGGGAGAGCUCCAACAGGUGUGUAGGUGGUAAGCUCCGACAAAUGUGGUGAAAGACACAAACACUAGCGCAAGCUUCGGCAGGUGUGUUUGAAGAUGUUAACCGGUAGGCAGGUUGACAGGAAUUUGGGAUCACCUAGGCGAACUGUGUCGCCAAUCUCCUACAGGUGGGUGGGGCUGAGUUUCUACAGGUGUGGUGCAAAAUGUAAACACCUGUGCGAGCUCCAGUUAGUGUGCUGAAAGAGGUAAACAUCUGGACGAGCUCCGACAAGUUGGAUGGAAGAUGUGAUCACCUAGCGACCCCUAUCAGAUGUGUUGGCGAACUUCGCCAGGUGUGUGGACGAGUUUCUACAGGUGUGGUGAAAAUGUAAGCACCUGGGUAAACUCCAACAAGUGUGUGGACUAGCUCCCAUGGGUGUCGCAGGAGUCCGUUGUAUUUCUUGCGGCAGAUGCGGCGCCGUUGGGACAAUGUGGAUUAUCUUGACCCAGGCUUCAGGAGCUAUGGUUUAAGUGGUAAUCAGUAAACAUUGUUAAAACACUCAUAAUGAUUAAUGCAUAUUUUAUAGAAAAAAAAUUUGAAAUUUGCGCGUAAGGUGAAAGCUGCAAAAGUUAAAACUCGAAAAUCCAAAUAAAACAUUUUAAACUGCAGAAAAGACAGUAAGAAAAAAUUUUCAGUGUAGCAUAUACUCUUAUAAACAUCACAGUGUUUUAAUGUAAUUAUAUGAAUUCCUCUAUGGAAAGGCAUUAUAGGAAAAUAAAUAAAAAACAUGCCGAGAGCAAUUAAUAUAAAUAAAUAAUCGGCUAUGACUCGCAAUCUACAAAAUAUAUCGCAACUAAAUGUUUUCUUGUGGAUAAUUACUAAUAGGAAAACAAGCAAUAGCACUGAAAUUAAAUUACUGGAAAAUUUCACAAGAUGGGAGACACAGGACUAUACACACCAAGAGUCACACAUCUACUGAACAAUUAAUUUCUUAUAUUAGGGAUCGAAGUAUCCCAGACCGAUUGUGAAGAGGUUACAAGCAGCCUGUCCGAAGCGUAGUCAAAAGGCUCUAAACCCAAGUAACCAACCAUCCAACCAGAUGGGAAACCUGGUCACUGUAUAACGGACCUCAACACACUUGUUUUCCAUCACACGAAGAUGUGUAAUGAUCGUCGGGUAUGAGGGAAGCAUCGUCGGGUGUGAGUGAAGCAUCGUCGGGUGUGAGUGAAGCAUCGUCGGGAGUGAGUGAAGCAUCGUCGGGUGUGAGGGGAGCAUCCAGUGGUUGGUACGGUCGGAACUCCCACUGCGAAUGCUUAUUAUUUACAUUUGGUUUUGGAAAUACGAGACACAAAAGAUACACAAAGUAACACGCUGUUAUUGAAAUAUGCAAAGUGCAGCAGUUGUUGGUCCUAGAGCAAAUCUUGUUGAACUAAUUUUAUAAUAGGGGAAGUGGGGGGGGGGGGUAGAUUUUCUAUCGUUGAAAUAUCUUUUAAAUAUCAUUACAAUGUAUCAUAUAGAAUCACAGUUAUUUUUCGCAUCUGGCCUUUUUCAGGGUCUAAAUGCACGCUUAUAUGGCAAGCGUGCAUGGCAAACGAAAAGUAUUAAAGUUUUCUCGGUCUACACUGUUGCUGUCGCCUUCAUGGUCUUGUGGUUAAAGCACUGGCCUGCUAGGUACUGAAUUGCUUUACCAUUGUUCGGAUACAACCCUUUCUCCGAGAUAUUUGAAGUCGAUUUUCGUGAGUCGGUAUGGUCGAUGUGAUUAUCCUACAUUUCAGAAGCAAAUUUUAGGGAGUAACCGUUAGCAUUUUUUCAGUUUUUAUUGCUUACAAUAUACCUGCCCGGUAAAGGGUUUUAAUAUAUAAUUUUUUGAAAGGAUUUUUUUUAAUGUGACGAACACGACUUGCCUUAAAUAUGCAAAAUAAAUUCUCUGUCGCAUGUUAUUACUAAACGUACACUUAUUUGUAGUAAUGCAUAAGAAAAAUUAAAUAUUUUUCAUAUAUACUCUGAUAUACAAAAUACCACCAUCAGGAUGCUACAGUGUGGUGAUCAUUUGCUCUUUUAAAUUAAGCGGGAAACUUCCCAGUACAUUUUACAAUAUAUUAAUUUCUUUGCGGGGUGGUCUGGUAAGCCAAUGAAAGGCAUCUGUUAAGUGACCUAUACAGGUAAUCAUACAAGUAAAACCCGCGUUUGGAAGAAAUUUCCCCAUUUCACCUGAUGGACUAGAGUUCCAACUGACGUCGGUCACAUAACCUGAAGCUCCAGUGAGCGGCUCAUCCUGUGACAAAGACCCAAUUCAGAACAUAUUAUUCCAUUUCUCAUGACAAACUAAAUACCUUUAAACUUUAUCUCGUAUGGAACGUGUUUCUAAAAGGACUCUGCUGCUCUAUAUAAGUAAUUUUAAGAACGUCUCUGUUCGUAAUCAGGUAACAUACAUAUCGUGGCUCAGUGUUAGAAUUUGUCACCAUCUAUAACAUUCUUCAAAGAGACUGGUUCAUACCCUUAUCUAAGGGUGAAAAUAAAAGUCAUAAGACAGUAACUUUAUUACUAACAAAAUUAAAACAACUAUUUCAUGUGCUUAUUAUUUUAGGCAACACUUCCGAAAACGUAUAAAUAUAUGGUCGAAACACAGCAAUAGUUUUUUGUUUUUAAUAAUUGUGAUAUCAGCCCUGUGUCACUGCUGUCUUUAACUCGUCGUUGUGUUUACAUUUAUGGCUCCAUAUGUGGACUAUGGGAUUAUCCUCUUCGAUGGCGAAUUUCAUCUCUUAAUCUGCUGAGGCAGAGCCAAUAACCUCGUAUCUUCACGUUUCAUCACAGGAAGAAGACAACUUCCCUGACACUACCACCAAUUUCUUCAUCUAUAUUUCUUACUGGCACACACCAUGAUGAUCUACAUUCAGUGAAGUUAAUGUUAAAGUAACAUUAUCUACAGACGCAUGCGAUCCAUCGUGCAUGUUAAUGGACAUAACGAAUACUGAGUUAUGUGACUAACCACUCGCUAGUCAACACGUAACUGUCCAGUUUGUGGCUACCCUCUCACCAGACAACACAGUAAGUGGCCAACUUGUGCCCGACCUCUUACCGGUUGACUCAGCAAGUGUCCAGCUUGUAAAUACCUUCUUACCAUUUGACAGAGGAAGUUGCCAGGAUGUGGCCAGUGUUAUAACAGACUCAUAAUUCCCUUAGACCAAAUAAAAUAUCUUGAGUGACACUCGGAUAAUUCAAUAAAUAUUUCUUUUCUUUUAUUGGACAUCGCUGGUACUUUAUAUAAAUUUAUAACAUUAGAACAUCAACGCGAUAAUGCACAUUAAGUCAUUGCGUUGACAUGUCCUAACACGAUACAAUCAUGGACCUGGAAAGCCAUGACUUUAAACACAAGAGACGUGAGACUAAAGUUCUAUCACCGUGGAGUCAACAGAAUAAAUUCUCUUUAAUGUACAUACAAAGGACCAAAGUCUUAUCACCUUACAUACAUGGGACUGAAGUCCUAUCACCGUUUAUACAUGAGGCUGAAGUCUUAUAACCGUACAUACAUGGGGCUGAAAUCCAUUCACAAAACAGAUAAGGGACUGCAUUCUCAUCACCGUACAGACAAGGGAGUGAAUGAAGUCUUACCAUCGUACAGACAUAGAGCUAAAGUCUCAUGUCUGUGCAGACAUAAGGCUAAAUUCUCACCACCGUAUAAAUAUAGGACUUAAGUCUUAUUACCGUACAGAUAUGGAAAAUAACUGUUAAGAAAACCACGAAUCACUUCAAGGUGCUGAACAUUUUGAUGUAACAUUUUUAACGAUGUGUAGUGUGUGAAGAUGAUGUGUAACCUCCUCUGUAUAAGGCGUACUGGGGACCGACCCUAGGAGGGUCUUGUAUUGCAAGUCCUCAGCUAUACCGACUCAACCGCAGUGUGUUCCAACGAACUCUUGUGUGGGUAGCCAUAACUGUAGCUUAACUAACUUUUAUAUAGAAAUCUAAUGUUGCAUCCUGGAUGCAACAUCAGAUCAAUAUUUGAUCACUUCUGACCAUGAAAUGAGACCUCACUCUCAGACACUAACCAAUUGUUAAUUUCAAUAUUGAAAUUCUCAUUUCAUGGUAAAUUUGUUCAACUCGAACAUUUUUGAUCAAUAAAUGGCAACAUUCUGAACAAAAAUUGCAUAAAAAUAAUAGUCACAGACGAAGCGACGAAGACAAAACUUGAAUAAGAGGUAAACUAUGCAUGAAAAACUAUAACAAAUAGCGAUUCCUGAAAAUUUAAGUUUUCCUGACAGAUUCAGUCGAGGGCCAGCGGAGUGUCUGAUUAAUCAUAUGGCCAGAUUGAUGAAGUUGUGAGUAGCAAUGAGUAAAGAACGUUUAACAGUUGCUGAAGUCAUAACUCGCAAGGCUUGGUAAGAGACUAUUUUAAGGCAUAACAGUGUUAAGAGUCGAUCUCCAGUCCUGAGAGUUCCUAAACCCCACAGUAUCUGGAGUCAUUCCAUCCACCACGUUAAAAUGAAUCUGAUUUUCAUUGAUGCUAACUAGAUUUCAUCACUUUAUACGGAGGUUUUGAGGAUAGACUGACCCAUACUAACUGCUCUCGAAUGUUAGGGAAAACUCAAGUAAGACGUGAAGAGAAGGUCGUGAAAAUCAAUUCAGAGCGCAAACGGAACCUUAGUAAGCUUCACUGAUUCUGAUUUUCUUUUACCUUUCAGAUAAUAAACUGAUUAGAAUCUGGCCCAGGGGAUUAUAAAGUCCCAAAUUCGAAUCUACCAGAAGUCAUGUCUAAACAAAAAAUAUUAAUUACAAAAUUGCUUGCGUUAGAUGAGGUGGCAGAUUCAUACCCGACAGGCCUUAUUUUUCACGUUGUUACUAAAUUUUGAUAAAAGAAUCACACUUUUCUUAGGGUGUUCCACGGUGUUUCUGGAGAUCUGGAGAGAGUUCCGGGGGUCAACGCCCCCGCGGCCCGGUCUGUGACCAGGCCUCCUUAGGUCAGUGUCCCAGGAUGCGACCCACACCAGUCGACUAACACCCAGGUACCCAUUUUACUGAUGGGGAACAUAGACAACAGGUGGAAAGAAACACGUCCAAUGUUUCUACUCUGGCUGGGAAUCGAACCCAGGCCCUCACCGUGUGAAGCGAGAGCGUUAACCACCAGGCCACCAGAGCCAAAAUUUAUAAUUUCUUCUUAGGUAUAUAGCAAAAACAGGCUACUCAUUCUGGCUGUGACUCUUGUUAGUUACCAAGGAUGUAGCAUCAUUAUUGAGUACCGAAGAUUAUUUAUCGUAGUCAGUCAUUUAAUAAUCUGAAAUGUUAAGGGAAAGUAUGUAUGUGUUGUGGUAUAACUAAAUAAGAUUGUGCUUUCAC